AUUGAACGCUGGCGGCAUGCCUUACACAUGCAAGUCGAACGGUAACAGGUCUUCGGAUGCUGACGAGUGGCGAACGGGUGAGUAAUACAUCGGAACGUGCCCGAUCGUGGGGGAUAACGAAGCGAAAGCUUUGCUAAUACCGCAUACGAUCUACGGAUGAAAGCAGGGGACCGCAAGGCCUUGCGCGAACGGAGCGGCGGAUGGCAGAUUAGGUAGUUGGUGGGAUAAAAGCUUACCAAGCCGACGAUCUGUAGCUGGUCUGAGAGGACGACCAACCACACUGGGACUGAGACACGGCCCAGACUCCUACGGGAGGCAGCAGUGGGGAAUUUUGGACAAUGGGCGAAAGCCUGAUCCAGCCAUGCCGCGUGCAGGAUGAAGGCCUUCGGGUUGUAAACUGCUUUUGUACGGAACGAAAAGACUCUGGUUAAUACCUGGGGUCCAUGACGGUACCGUAAGAAUAAGCUCCGGCUAACUACGUGCCAGCAGCCGCCGUAAUAC
rnacentral:rRNA from 1 species